AAUCACUCAACUCGCAACUGUUGCAAGGACCCAACUUGAAUAAUUCUCUUAUUGGUGUUCUGGUGAGAUUCAGACAUAAGCCGAUUGCCCUUGCAGCAGACGUAGAAGGGAUGUUUCAUCAGGUCAGAGUUCCUGCUAAAGAUAAAGAUCUGUUAAGAUUCCUUUGGUGGCCUAAAGGGGACACUGCACAGGAAGUGGAGGAAUACAGAAUGAGUGUCCACUUAUUUGGUGCUACAUCCUCCCCAAGUUGUGCAAUCUACGCUUUGCAAAGGUGUGCAAAGGACAACAGUGCACAGCAUAGAUCAGAGGUAAUUCAGACAGUCCUUAGGAAUUUCUAUGUGGAUGAUUGUUUGUCGUCUGUGGCUACUGAACAGCAGGGUAUUGCUCUAAUGCAUGACUUAAGGGAGAUGUGUGCAUCAGGAGGAUUUAAUUUGACCAAGUGGAUGUCCAACAGUCGCACUGUACUUGCAUCCAUAAGUGAGGAGAGCAAAGCUAAGACAGUUAAGGAUUUGGACCUGGAGAAAGACAAGUUACCAUUGGAAAGAGCUCUAGGGGUUCAGUGGUGUGUUGAGACAGACACUUUGCAGUUCAAAGUAACCCUACAGGAAAAGCCUCUUACAAGGAGAGGUAUAUUGUCCAUGGUCAGCUCCAUUUAUGAUCCCCUUGGAAUACUUUCUCCAGUUAUUCUUCCUGCAAAGCAAAUACUGCAGGAGCUUUGUAGAACAAAACAUGACUGGGAUGACAAGAUUCCAGAAACUCUCAGACAUCAGUGGAAUCUGUGGCUGGCUAGUCUUCAGAACUUGAAUGACUUUCAGGUUGAAAGAUGCAUGAAGCCACUUAACUUUGGUGAAAUCACCUCAGCGCAGCUGCAUCACUUUUGCAGAUGCCAGUGAGCUGGGUUUUGGCACAGUGUCAUACUUGCUCAUGGAGAAUCACAGAGGUAACCAACAUUGUGCAUUUGUUAUGGGUAAAGCAAGGGUUGCUCCAGUAAAAACAGUUACCGUGCCACGUCUUGAGCUUACUGCAGCUACAAUGGCUGCUAGAAUGGACAAUAUGCUGAAAUCUGAAUUGGACUUGAUUCUUCAGGAGUCUGUAUUUUGGACAGACAGUACUUCAGUCCUGAAAUAUCUCAACAACGAAAGCACGCGGUUCCGUACAUUUGUGACCAACAGGGUAACUGCAAUCAGAGAGCUCUCAAAGGCGUCGCAAUGGAGGUAUGUGAAUUCUGAACUUCAAAACUUCAAAUCUUCGCUGUCAGGGGUUACAUUGACUGUAAGUGACCUUGAAAAAGCUGAGGAAGAGAUCAUUCGCUACAGCCAAACAAUCAUGUUUCCAGAGGAAAUCAAAGCCCUCCAGCAAGGUAAAACUGUAAAACACAGCAGCGCUCUCUACAAGUUGUCACCAGUUUUGCAAGACAAAAUUCUAAGAGUAGGUGGCAGACUAAGCAGGUCAUCUAUGCCUGAGGAGGCCAAGCAUCCUGCUAUUUUAGCAAAGGACCAUCCUGUUUCACAUCUGAUCUUAAGAUCAAUUCAUGCAGAUGUGGGUCACAGCGGCCGUAAUCACAUGUUGUCAAAGUUACGGGAAAAAUACUGGAUUCCAAAAGCACAAACGGCCAUCAGAAAAAUCCUAUCUCAAUGCACAAUUUGUAAACGCCAGCGCGGCACUACAGGCAAACAAUUCAUGGCUGACCUUCCCCGUGACAGGCUUUUGCCAGAUGAACCCCCAUUCACAAAUGUAGGCAUUGAUUAUUUUGGCCCAUUUGAAAUCAAAAGAGGAAGGACAUUGAUUAAAAGAUAUGGGGUAAUCUUUACUUGCCUGACGUUAAGAGCUGUUCACAUUGAGGUUGCCAGCUCUUUGGACACAGACUCGUGCAUUCAUGCACUAAGGAGAUUUGUUUCUAGAAGGGGUCAGGUUAAAACAAUCAGGUCUGACAAUGGGACAAAUUUCAUUGGGGCAGAAAGGGAGUUGCAAAAGGCCAUACAAAGUUUAAAUAAUGACAGGAUUCAAACCACAAUGCUUGCAAAAGGUGUACAGUGGAUUUUCAAUGCUCCAACUGCAUCCCACCAUGGAGGAGUGUGGGAACGUCAAAUACGGACUGUCAGAAAAAUUCUCAACUCCAUUGUAAAACAGCAGUCUCUUGAUGAAGAAAGUCUUCAAACGCUCUUAUGUGAGGUGGAAGCAAUAAUCAAUAGUCGUCCCAUCACUAAGGUGUCCAAUGACCCAAACGAUUUGGAGGCCCUUACUCCAAAUCAUUUGCUGCUGUUGAAAGUAAAGCCGCCCAUGUCUCCUGGGGUUUUUGACAAAGCAGACCUGUAUUCCAGACGUAGGUGGCGCCAAGUUCAGUAUAUGGCUGACAUAUUUUGGAAGCGCUGGAUCAAAGAAUACUUACCAGACCUGCAAGAAAGACAAAAAGUGGCAAAAGCCUAGUACAAAAAUCUCAAGCCUGGGGACGUUGUAUUGGUUGCUGAUGAUUCCGCACCACGAAACUCUUGGGUAAUGGGACGUGUGCUACAAACAUUCACAGACAACAAAGGUCUUGUGCGGCAGGCCCGAGUGAAAACAAGCACAAACAUUCUUUUACGUCCUGUUACUAAGCUUUGUUUACUUUUAGAGGCAGAUUUAUAGUCUCCUAUCUGUUAUGGGUUUAUCACCUAAAUUCAGGUUAGCAUCUUAUUGAGAAAAAAUUCGGAGAUUCAGUUGAAACUAUUUGGUAUCUUUCUUUUAUGUAAUUUGUUUGGCUCUUUAGUAUAAAUAGGUUGUUAAUUGUUUCGUUGAACACAAAGACAAUUAGGGGCUGGUGUGUAAGAGCCAAUUUUACGUUUCAAUAAUUUGUAUGGUAUUGUUUCUUGGAGUGUUAAUUUCAAGCAUAAACUGAAUAUAUCAUAUUUGUAUCUUUCUUUCUGAGGUAGUUCUGUUUUUUCCUGUAUUUAUUUUAUAUAUAUUUAUAUAUAUAUUUUCAGUACUGUUUCCUAUGUUUUCUGAUGUACAGGCUAAUUUCUGUUCUGUUUCUUUAAUGGUUACGCCCACUUGGGCGGAAGAUUGAACUGGGUAGUUGUUCGUGUAUAGGAAAUAAGGGAGAAACAGUUUUCUUACCGUUUUUCGUCUGUCAUUAAAAAAAAUAACUCUUGUUUAAACGUUCAAGGUAACAGCAGUUAAAGGUUUAACAGGUGAAACCAUAGGAAAGGCUACAGGAGCCAUCAGGAUUUUGUAUAGUUUUCUAAUUUUGUGUUUGGAUUAAACUUUUUUGAUUGACUUCUGUGACGAGUAAGAAGCUUUUUUCCUGUUCCAGUGAAGUUAACAUAGGACUUUGCACCUACAGCCAUUAUCAAUAUUAAUGAGUCUUCUGUCACCUGAGUGAUAGUUCAUACUUUUUUUUUUCCUCGGUUUGUUUGUUUUUUAGCAGGUAAAAGGUAUUUUAUAUAUAGAUAAUAAGUCCCCCUUUCAGCUUUUUCACAUGUGUUUUUGCUGUCAAAUCUUUACUUAUUUUUUAUGAAGUAAAUUUAAGUGUCACUAAUAUUUCCAUAAAAACUAAGCAUUUAAAUACCAUAUUACUAAGAAAUAUUAUUGGGAGAAAUAGAAUGACGACAUAUAUUUAUAUGCAUUUUAUGUAAGUAGUCAUUUAUUAACAUUACAAGCUCAGAAUUUCAUCUUACAUUUUGGUCAUAUGAAUAAUAGCAUGUUUUUGCUUAUUUUGGGCCUCACUGAGGAGUUUUUUGACAAUAUGAGCUCCAUAUUAUCAUUAUAUGAUAAUAUAUGGGCCAUAAAAGCCUGGUGCAUUAAAUAUGAUACUCAAUGAAAAACACACAAGCACACUUUUUAUUUUAUUUUUUUAUUUAUUUAUUUUUAUUUUUAUUUUUUUUAACUUAAAGCUUCAAUGAAUUGUUCAAUUUAAAUAAAUAAAUACAAAUUCUGACUAUCAUUUCAUAUGACAGGCUUUAUUUAUUUAGAGAAGCUCACAGAGUUAAUAUCCACACAUAUAUUCCAUAAUACUCUAAAAAGGAUAAAAAUUAUAAAUUAUAUUACAGUUAUAACACAUUGUUACAAGUAUAACACGUUUUAUAACCUCCUACCUUGUCCACAAUUUUGGAUGAAAAAACUCACAAGUUUGGGAUACAAUACAUACAAUGCUGUUUCAAAAUUUGGCAAAAACAAAACAUCUUUGAAGACAGCUCCUUUGAACAGCCGUCACAUCAAAAUGCCUUAAACGCACCCUACGCAGGAAGCUCACUAGCUUUUGUAACAACGUUUAUAGGUAUCUUUCAUCUGCAUCGACAAAUGGGAUUUUCUGCAGUCGAUCUCUUCUCUGACAUCUCCAUUUUUUUAGAAAGUACACAUAAGGUGAUUUAUUCAGUAGCAUUAUGAAAAGCUUCAGUGCUUUACGCUUCAAUCUCAGCACGACCUCAAUGAACCGACUGACUUUUUCUCUUAUAGUUCAUGAAGUGUAUUUGAUUGUGUGACAACCCCACACGCCGAGCCCAUCAUCCUGCUGAUCACACCACAGAAAGAACACAGGCCUCAUUUCCUGUGAGUAAUGAAUCAUGGGAUAUGCUGACAGAGUGACAUGUGGCAUCUAAAAGGCUCUGGCUGUGAUUUUAAGCCUGGGUGAGAAACAACAGCGUGAGAUGACAGAGUUAGGUGCUACAUAUGUUAAUGUACGGUCAGAAAGAUGAGUACUCAUUUGCCAUUGAGAAUGUAGAUGCAGAACAUGUCAGUCGCCACCAACCUAAACACCAUCCACACGCUGCCCUUUUGGAGGUGAGAGAACGAGUCGGUGGCUGGUGGGAUAUGAAACAGGAUUUGAACGUGUUUGGUCGGGUGUAAAUACAGGCUUUGCUGUUCGUGUUCACACAAUUUCAUCUCGGUCAUACACUCGGUGACUAGUCCAGUCAAAAGCAGUUGGGUUGAGCCUGUCAGGAUUGAGUUUAAGAAGAGGGAAAGAAAUAGUAGGCUUUCUUUGAGAACAAUUCCAGCCACAAAAGCCAUUCACACAGGAUAUGGGAUGUCAAAUUUGAUUUCAGUGAAGAAUAGCUGCAAGUUUCAUGAGCAAAAGCCCCAACAAGUGUGCCAUUUGAGACAGCUUCAAAAAGGCAGCCAGAUAUACACUAGUUGUAAUAAUUAGAAUGGUGUUGAUACGUCUCGUCUGCUCACCAAGGCUGCAUUUGAUUGAAAAUACAGUAAAAAGAUUAUAUAUAUAUCAUUUAUUCCUGAGAUGCAAAGCUGAAUUUUCUCCAAUUACUCCAAUCACAUGAUCCUUAAGAAAUUCUAAUAUGCUAGAAAUCUUUUGUUACAAUGUAUAGUGCC
ensembl:lncRNA